rnacentral:rRNA from 1 species
UAAUUUCUUAACCCAUCUAGACCCCUUCAACUGUACUGAGAACUUCUAUAAUAUUAUAGAACCUUUUAUGCUAAAACUAGUAACAAGAGACAACCCCUCUCCCCAAUGCAAAUUAAAGCCAGCAAGAACCCACCACUGGCAACCAACAGACCUGAACAAAAGCGGCAACUUCACUAGAAAACCCCACUUCCCACAACUGUUAACCUAACACCAGAGCAUUUCAAGAAAGAUUAAAAGAAAAAGAAGGAACUCGGCAAACAUUAACCCCGCCUGUUUACCAAAAACACCGCCUCUUGCCCAUAUAAGAGGUCCAGCCUGCCCAGUGACACUUGUUCAACGGCCGCGGUAUCCUAACCGUGCAAAGGUAGCGUAAUCACUUGUCUUCUAAAUAAAGACCAGUAUGAAAGGCAUCACGAGGGCUAAACUGUCUCCUUUCCCUAAUCAGUGAACCUAAUCCCCCCGUGAAGAAGCGGGGAUCCUAGUAUAAGACGAGAAGACCCUAUGGAGCUUUAAACAUCAUAACACCUGCUACUACAUUUCUACUUACUCAGGUAUCCCCCUAACAGCACACUGAUUAUAUGUUUUUGGUUGGGGUGACCGCGGAGAAAAACCAAUCCUCCGUAAUGAAAGGGACUCUCCCU